rnacentral:rRNA from 1 species
GAUGAACGCUGGCGGCGUGCCUGACACAUGCAAGUCGAGCGAGAUGCUUCUGAUAGAUUCUUCGGAUGAUAGAUGAAGCGGAAAGCGGCGGACGGGGGAGUAACGCGUAGGCACCCCGCUCUUCACAGAGGGAUAGCCUCGGGACACCGGGAUUAAAACCUCAUAAUUCCAUAGGAAGACAUCUUCUCUUGGCCGAAGAUUUAUCGGUGAAGGAUGGGCCUGCGUCUGAUUAGUUAGUUGGUGGGGUAACGGCCUACCAAGGCGACGAUCAGUAGCCGACCUGAGAGGGUGAUCGACCACAAUGGAACUGGGACACGGUCCAAACUCCUACGGGAGGCAGCAGUGGGGAAUAUUGCACAAUGGGGGAAACCCUGAUGCAGCAACGCCGCGUGAAGGAAGAAGGCCUUCGGGUCGUAAACUUCUGUCCUUGGGGAAGAAACAAAUGACGGUACCCUUGGAGGAAGCCCCGGCUAACUACGUGCCAGCCGCCGCGGUAAGAC